rnacentral:lncRNA from 1 species
AUUGAUUGAUGUUUUUUAAUUAAAUUAUAUUAUUAUUUUUGUCUUAUUAAUCCAACACUGCCAGCUAUGCAUCUGUAGUAAAUGAUAUGAGCCUUCUUCGGUCUCUCUUUUGCUUUAUUUUGUCUUCUUUCUCUUUUUUUUUUUUUGCUCUCUUUAUCUUUCUUUCAUUUUCGUCUUAAUGUAUAAUACAAAAAAUAUUGUGUAUACGUAUGUAAGAAAUGCUUAUAGAAUUCAAAACUCCUUAUAUUCA